rnacentral:rRNA from 1 species
AGAGUUUGAUCCUGGCUCAGAAUCAACGCUGGCGGCGUGCCUAACACAUGCAAGUUGAGCGCUAGAGGGGGCAACCCCAAUUCAGCGGCGAACGGGUGAGUAACGCGUGGGUGAUCUUCCUUCGAGUGGGGAACAACAUCGGGAAACUGGUGCUAAUUCCGCAUA